GAUGAACGCUGGCGGCGUGCCUAAUACAUGCAAGUCGAGCGAACAGACGAGGCGCUUGCUCCUCUGACGUUAGCGGCGGACGGGUGAGUAACACGUGGAUAACCUACCUAUAAGACUGGGAUAACUUCGGGAAACCGGAGCUAAUACCGGAUAAUAUAUUGAACCGCAUGGUUCAAUAGUGAAAGACGGUUUUGCUGUCACUUAUAGAUGGAUCCGCGCCGCAUUAGCUAGUUGGUAAGGUAACGGCUUACCAAGGCGACGAUGCGUAGCCGACCUGAGAGGGUGAUCGGCCACACUGGAACUGAGACACGGUCCAGACUCCUACGGGAGGCAGCAGUAGGGAAUCUUCCGCAAUGGGCGAGAGCCUGACGGAGCAACGCCGCGUGAGUGAUGAAGGUCUUCGGAUCGUAAAACUCUGUUAUUAGGGAAGAACAAAUGUGUAAGUAACUAUGCACGUCUUGACGGUACCUAAUCAGAAAGCCACGGCUAACUACGUG
rnacentral:rRNA from 1 species